rnacentral:rRNA from 1 species
AGAAUCAACGCUGGCGGCGUGCCUAACACAUGCAAGUCGCACGAGAAAGGGACUUCGGUCCUGAGUACAGUGGCGCACGGGUGAGUAACACGUGAAUCAUCUACCUCCGAGUGGGGAAUAACCUAGAGAAAUCUGGGCUAAUACCGCAUAACACUUACGAGUCAAAGCAGCAAUGCGCUUGGAGAGGAGUUCGCGGCAGAUUAGUUAGUUGGCGGGGUAAUGGCCCACCAAGACGAUGAUCUGUAUCCGGCCUGAGAGGGCGCACGGACACACUGGAACUGAAACACGGUCAAGACUCCUACGGGAGGCAGCAGUGGGGAAUUUUGCGCAAUGGGGGAAACCCUGACGCAGCAACGCCGCGUGGAGGAUGAAAUAUCUUGGUAUGUAAACUCCUUUCGAUGGGGAAGAUAAUGACGGUACCCAUAGAAGAAGCCCCGGCUAACUUCGCGCCAGCAGCCGC